rnacentral:lncRNA from 10 species
AUGAGUUGAGUUCUCAAUUCAGGGAGGCCUCACCACCUAAGAACAAUUUUUGGAGAAUGGGGAGGAAUCCUAGCAAAGGUCUCCAUGUCUAAGGAUGGCUGUGGGUUACAAUUCUAAAGGUCUUUUUAUUUGCUUAUUCAAAUAUAAUGACAUUUAAAAAUUCCUGGCAAAUUAGAAGUAUUAAGUUACUAACUUAACAUUUUCAUAUAGACCUUUGUAUUAUUUUAUGUACCAGAAUCCUCAAAAGCACUCUGGAGUUAUUGGCCUUUUUUUAUAAAAAUAGUGAAGCAGAGAGAUUAAAGGAGUUAACUGUAAGAAAUACAAUAAACAUUCAUAGCCUAGAUUUCAAAUUCACUCCUUAUCAUACUGCUGCUACAAACUCAAGAUAAUUAUUAAAAUCCAAAAUAGAAAUGAAGCCCUGACUGAACUAAAUCCUUAGCAAAGAUAAAUGAACUUGCUUGGUUUUGAAGAGUAGUGUAAAGAAACUGGUUUGGAGGGGUCUGGAAGGCAGGUCAUCUGAUUAUGAUUCCUAACUGCCAUGAGACAAUGCAUGAGGGUGUGUGUGUGUGUGUGUGUGUGUGUGUGUGUG